rnacentral:rRNA from 1 species
CUCACCAGGUCAGGACACGGUAAGGAUUGACGGACUGAAGGCUCUUUCUCGAUUCCGUGGAAAGUGGUGCAUGGCCGUUUUGGUUGGUGGAUCGAUCCGUCUGGUUAAUUCCGUUAACGAACGAGACCUCGGCACUCCGAAUAGCGCGGCGGACGUCGCGGCCUCCGGGCCGUCUUCCGCACGAGCUUCUUAGAGGGACCGUCCCCCGCCGGGGAAGGAGGUGCGAGGCAACGACAGGUCUGUGAUGCCCUUAGAUGUUCUGGGCCGCACGCGCAUUACACUGACGCGUCCAACGGGUGACUCCCGACCCGAAGGGGCCGGGGAAUCCGCAAGGCGCGUCGUGAUGGGGAUUGAACGUUGCAAUUGUUGUUCACGAACGAGGAAUUCCUAGUAGGCGCGGGUCAUCAACCCGCGCCGAUUACGUCCCCUGCCCUUUGUACACACC